UGGACAUUUAGAUUUUUUUCUUUCUCCUUUUGUGGUGAUAAUUAUACAUAAGUGUCCUUCGUUAACAUAGAAACUUUUGGUUAAUUCUUCUCAAGUUAAUAAGGACUGUAUCGUUCCACUUCUGACACUU
ensembl:scaRNA small Cajal body-specific RNA 24